GUCCGUAUGAGUAAAAGAUUUAAGGUUUGACCUGCCCACUGAUAAGUUUGAAGGGCCGCAGUAAUGUAACUGUGUAAAGGUAGCGUAAUCAAUAGUCUUUUAAAAGAAGGCCAGAAUGAAAGGUCGGACAAAAGAUAAUCUGUCUUUUUUGUAAAAAUUGAAUUUUACUUUUAAGUGAAAAGGCUUAAAUGGAUUUAGGGGACGAUAAGACCCUAUAAAACUUUAUAAGAUAUAGGCUGUAUAAUAAAUUAUGAUAUAUAUUUAUGGAUUUAUAUUUUUUUUAAUUGGGGAGAUGAAGAUAAAAAAAAACAGUAACUGUUUAAAGUUUAAGAUAUUAUAAAUAGGAGAAAUGAACCUUUAUUAAGGAGUAAAAGGAGAAGUUACUUUAGGGAUAACAGCGUAAUAUUUUUUUUGGAGAGCUCUUAUCGAUGAAAGUAGUUGCGACCUCGAUGUUGAAUUAAGAUUGAAAUUAGGGAGCAGUAUUUUUAAUGUUAAGUCUGUUCGACUUUUAAUAUCUU
rnacentral:rRNA from 1 species